AACUUUUGACAACGGAUCACUUGGCUCUCGCAUCGAUGAGGAACGCAGCGAAAUGUGAUAAGUAAUGUUAAUUGCAGAAUUCAGUGAAUCAUCGAAUCUUUGAACGCACCUUGCGCCCUUUGGCUAUUCCGAAGGGCAUGCCUGUUUGAGUAUGAUGAACACCUCAACUCUCGUGGUCCGCCACGAUGAGCUUGGACUUUGGGGGUCUUGCCGGCCUAGCGUCGGCUCCUCUCAAAUGGAUCAGCUUGCCAGUGUUUGGUGGCGUCACAGGUGUGAUAACUAUCUACGCUUGUGGUUUCUGCCAUGCAACCUUCAGCAAUGGGGUUUCGCUGGAGCUCACAGAUGUCUCUCCUUGGGGAGGACAGCUUUUUGGACGUUUGAUCUCAAAUCAGGUAGGACUACCCGCUGAACUUAAGCAUAUCAAUAAGCGGAGGCU
rnacentral:misc_RNA from 1 species